AUUUAAGUAGUUUAUAUAAAAUUUUGAUUUGUGGUGUCAGUGAAGUAAAUUAUUACCUUAAAUC
rnacentral:tRNA from 1 species